rnacentral:tRNA from 1 species
UCCCUGGUGGUCCAGUGGUUGGGACUCUGUGCUUCCAAUGCAGGGGUUAUAGGUACAAUUCCUGGUUGGGAAA